GCGGGAGGCAGGAUGCUCGCAGCAGCCCCGGGGACGCGGCGGGAAGCGGCUCUCCCCGACCCUCCCGUCUGACGUGGCCUGUGCACCAGGGGUACGGCCCGGAGCGGGGAUGUGAACAGAAAUGUCACCCCAAGUUCAUUGCAGUGCAUCCAGCAAAGACCUGAACCCCGCACUGCUGGUGUCGCCUCUCUUUAGAAAUUUACAGAUCCUAAGAGAAGGUGAAUGGCCACAGUCUCCCACUGGACUGAAACCUGAACUUCGGACGGAUGCAACUGACGAUGAAACAUCCACAGGGCAGUCUGUUUCUAGCCAGCCCUCACACAAACUAUUCCACACAACCAUUGAAGCCUUGACCUCAGCUGCCACGGAGCCAGAGCCAAGGGGCUCCCGAAGGCGCAGGGCAGACCGUGCCAUUGCCACCGGAGCUGCCCACCGGGGCAGCCCGGCUCCCUGCAGCUGAGCGCUGCCCGCCAUGGCCACUCUGCCCUUGCCCCUGGCGCUCUCCAAGCGUUUGUCAACAGUCUCUGUCAGAGACAGCAAGAACGGACCCUUGAUCUGAGCACAGCCAAGCUUUGCAGCGUGGGGCUGGGGGAGAUGCCAGGGACCUUUCCCUCCCUGCCUGUGCAGAGCGGCGCGCAGCCCUCCCUCCCUCCCUCCCCCUGCACAGCCUGCCGCACUGCUACCGCUCUCCCUGCUGCAGCCGAGGUAUUUUUAUCUCUCCUGAGUCAGAAACCGACGACAAGCACAGUUUGUCACAAGCUUCUGGGUGGAAUUGGUAUGUGCUUUGCAGCUGGAUCUCAGUGUUCCAGUUUAGCUCAGCCCUGCCAAUACAGCUGAGAUUAGUGCUCACUGGGAGCCCCUCUUCUCUUCCCUUGUAUGGCCACCCAUAACCUUCCCGACAGGUUUUAAAAGUCUGCUGGGUUUCAGCAGAGGGUCAUGGUGCAGAGAUUAAGGAUCAAGGUUGGUGCUGCACUAAACACUAAUCUGCAAUACAGCUAAGAACUGAAACACUGAUCUCCUGAUCAUACACGAGAAUGCUGUCAGGUGCUACUGGCUCAUACAGGGGUCUGACUCAGUUCCUGGUUUCAAUGCAGGAGGCUGCUUGAUCCAUCCUAUCUAGAAAUACUUUUCCAAUGACUACUUCAAUCUUGUCUUGCUUUUAACCACUCCUUUCUAAUGCAGGCGAAUGUUCCUCUGGCAUUUUUCUGUCCAUCUUUGCAAGUACAUUAACACUCCAUGGCAACAGAAGAUCAAGAAAACUGAGAUGACGAGUAAGAGAUGAUAAAAACCUGACACUUUAUCUACACAAAGUGUGAAAAUAGCAUGGACUCAGGGGAGCAGCCUCCUUUCCUUUCCCUUCUGCUAAAGUCACUUCAUGGUUUAAUUCCCAAGAACUACAUCAGAUCUAAGUCCUCAUGGAACAAGGUGGACCUACACCUGCCCCAGAGGAGUCAUCCUCUCCAAACAACUUUGAGUGACAACAGGCUCAGGAAGUAAGUCAUGAUUUGUAAAAACAUUUCAUUACGCUCUUCUCUGCAACCCAAAAUUUCUCUUAUUUUUAAGGGGAAAAAAUGCCUCACCAAAGCUUCAUAUUGGAAAUAAAUUCUUUUAAAAUGUAAUUGUUGAAAAUAAAUAAUGCAGUGAUUUUCAACAAUAAAUUUACUAUCAGAAUCAA